rnacentral:tRNA from 1 species
GCCGGCGGGCAGCCGGCAGCCACUGCUUGCGCUCGUGGAGCGCACGCUCGACGCGCUGCCCGGCGAGCGCAUCGUUCCACCGAUGCGGCAGUU